GACAUUGUGCUCACUUCUUCCCUUCCUAGAAGAGGAAUCGCAGCGCAACCGGUGCAUUUGCUCAUCCAGUCCUUACAAGAUCUGCACGAUGAGAAAACUGAGGUCCAGAUAAGCUGAGUCAUCCAAAGUCUCACAGCUACCAUGUGAACUGAGCCAGGAUUUGAACCCAGGCAUUCUGCCUCCAGAGCCCAGGCUGUUAACUGCUGCAUCAUGCUGGACAUGCUGCACC
rnacentral:lncRNA from 10 species